GAUGAACGCUAGCGGCAGGCUUAAUACAUGCAAGUCGAGGGGCAGCACGGGUAGCAAUAUCUGGUGGCGACCGGCAAACGGGUGCGGAACACGUACGCAACCUUCCCAUAACUGGCGAAUAGCCCUCCGAAAGGAGGAUUAAUACACCGUAACAUAAUGAAGAGGCAUCUCUUUAUUAUUAUAGUCCUCGGCAGGUUUUGGGUGGGCGGGCGCCUGAUUAGGUAGUUGGCGGGGUAACGGCCCACCAAGCCUGCGAUCAGUAACUGGUGUGAGAGCACGACCAGUCACACGGGCACUGAGACACGGGCCCGACUCCUACGGGAGGCAGCAGUAAGGAAUAGUGGUCAAUGGACGAAAGUCUGAACCAGCCAUGCCGCGUGAAGGAUUAAGGCCCUCUGGGUUGUAAACUUCUUUUAUCUGGGACGAAAAAAGGGUAUUCUUACUCACUUGACGGUACCAGAGGAAUAAGCACCGGCUAACUCCGUGCCAGCCGCCGC
rnacentral:rRNA from 1 species